UACGUAGGGGGCAAGCGUUGUCCGGAAUCAUUGGGCGUAAAGAGCGCGUAGGCGGUCCGGUAAGUCGGUUGUGAAAACUGGGGGGCUCAACCCUCAGAGGCCGACCGAUACUGCCGGGCUAGAGUCCGGAAGAGGCGAGUGGAAUUCCUGGUGUAGCGGUGGAAUGCGCAGAUAUCAGGAGGAACACCGAUGGCGAAGGCAGCUCGCUGGGGACGGUACUGACGCUGAGGUGCGAAAGCGUGGGGGAGCAAACAGG
rnacentral:rRNA from 1 species